rnacentral:lncRNA from 1 species
UUCAACUUGGGUGCCAGCAGUAACCGGUUAUACAAAGGAAACUCAACAUUCCUCUUCCCCAAAGUAAACCUAUUGCAAAAACCCCUUCCAUCUAAUAAUAGCAACUCAAGGUCCCAUGGAGUUUCAUACAUUUUCCAGAGUUACAAAACCUGGCUAACACUGAGUCAAGUUAGGAAUCUCAAUCAAUGUCUUUGACCAACUUAAAGUGUUUGUAGAAUGUUUGAUGUACCUAAGAGUGAGUAAAAUGUGAAAGUCAGUUGCUGGAAUUGGUUGAAUGAGAGUGUCGGGUGAAGAAGGCAAGACAUGCAACAGAGGAAGAGGAAUGUGUCAUCCAAGAGGGGAAAAGAGAAAUACUAUUACUAUCUGUUGUCUUGGUGGUUCUCAUGAGGAGUGAAAGGAGAAUUGCUAACCUGGAAGAAGAUCAGAGAAACACACUAUACAGUCCUGCAGUCCUUCACCAAGUAGCAUGGGAUAGAAGCUCUGAACAUCAGCAUAAUUUUGAGGCCUAAAGUGUAAGAAUUGCUAGAAAUGCUGUGGUAUUAUUAAUUAAUUAAUUAAUUAAUAAUUAAUUUAUUUUUGUAUUAACUUAUUUUUAUUUAGAAAUGAUGGUAAAGAUGAUGAUGAUGAUGAUGAUGAUGCUUACAAUAACAGAUACUCAAGGUUAAAAAAUAAUUGUAAAAGUUCAAACUUACAUUAGAGUAAAAGUUAUCCUGGGUGCUGCAACCUUUGUCCAACAUGACUCAUGUAACCAAUAUUAACAGUGUAACCACAAAGCUUUGUAGUGGAAUACAUGUAGGCAAUUAUUUUUACCCAACAAGAUAUACUAGCAUUGGUUUUUCUCUGCCUCUGUUUCUGAUGAGUUGUUCAUACAAUAGAGGCUAGAUAGAAUAUUCAAGUCAAUAUAAUACAAACACAACUACCACUACAUAUGGGCUAGAAGCAGGAACCCCAUCACCCACCUAGAGAAUACAGAAGAAUUGAGAAAGUGAAGAGAAUAUUGUCAGGAUAUUGGAGAAGAGAUUUCUUUGGCGAUGAUGGGCACUCAAGUGAGAUAAUUAGCUUAGGGUCACCUAGGGUCCUAUAAAAAGGUAACCCAGCAGAUAAACACUGCAGGAGUAUUUAACGAUGCUCAGGGGCCUGAGAAAUGGUAAAAUUACACCAUCACCCAGGCCCACGGUGCUGCAUAUAUCACUACAUCUCAUCCCCUGCUGCCCCCCACACUGCAGCCAGAAGUUGUGAAAGGCGCGCAGGAGAGAGCAGAGAAGCAGCAGGACCUCCCCUCUAUCUCCACUGUCGGUGUCCCUACCGAACAGGGUCCUAGAUGGGUAGGAAGGAAGAAUUUAACACUGAGUCAAGUUGGGAAUUUCAAUUGAUAGUUUGACUGAUUAAAAGUGAUUGUAGAAAUGCCUGCAUUAUCGGGCGGGUGCGGUGGCUCACGCCUGUAAUCCCAGCACUUUGGGAGGCCGAGGCAGGAGA